GGAGAGUUUGUGCUAUGAGUGAGAAGGGAGGAAAGGCGUAUAGCCUGUUGGUUGGCCAGUGUUGUAGGAAGGCGUCCACUGCCAUAGCAACUGGGUCCGGUCUCCAGCUGAAGAAUGAGGGAAGUUGAGCAUUCAGCCGGGAGGCAAAAAGGUCGAUGUGCAUUGGUCCCCAGAGUUGGUGGAGCUUCUGCAAUAUUGUGUGAUUAAAUCGC